GAUACACCUGUUCCCAUUCCGAACACAGAAGUUAAGCUCUCUAGCGCUGAUGGUACUUGGUGGGAAACUGCCUGGGAGAGUAGGACGUAGCCACGUA
rnacentral:rRNA from 1 species